rnacentral:rRNA from 1 species
GGCAUCUUUUUAUUUUUAAAAGACCUAGCAAUAGGUAUGCUUAGGGAAGAGCUUGCGUCACAUUAGUUAGUUGGUGGGGUAAUGGCCUACCAAGACGAUGAUGUGUAGCCGGGCUGAGAGGUCGAACGGCCACAUUGGGACUGAGACACGGCCCAAACUCCUACGGGAGGCAGCAGUAAGGAAUUUUCGGCAAUGGAGGAAACUCUGACCGAGCAAUGCCGCGUGAACGAUGAAGUAUUUCGGUACGUAAAGUUCUUUUAUUAGGGAAGAAAAGAUGGUGGAAAAACCAUUAUGACGGUACCUAAUGAAUAAGCCCCGGCUAACUAUGUGCCAGCAGCCGCGGUAAUACAUAGGGGGCAAGCGUUAUCCGGAAUUAUUGGGCGUAAAGGGUGCGUAGGCGGUUAAAUAAGUUUAUGGUCUAAGUGCAACGCUCAACGUUGUGAUGCUAUAAAAACUGUUUAGCUAGAGUUGGAUAGAGGCAAGUGGAAUUCCGUGUGUAGUGGUAAAAUGCGUAAAUAUACGGAGGAACACCAGAAGCGAAGGCGGCUUGCUGGGUCUUAACUGACGCUGAGGCACGAAAGCGUGGGGAGCAAACAGGAUUAGAUACCCUGGUAGUCCACGCCCUAAACGAUGAGUACUAAACGUUGGAUAAAACCAGUGUUGAAGUUAACACAUUAAGUACUCCGCCUGAGUAGUACGUACGCAAGUAUGAAACUUAAAGGAAUUGACGGGACUCCGCACAAGCGGUGGAUCAUGUUGUUUAAUUCGAAGGUACCCGAAAAACCUCACCAGGUCUUGACAUGCUUUUGCAAAGCUGUAGAAAUACAGUGGAGGUUAUCAGAAGCACAGGUGGUGCAUGGUUGUCGUCAGCUCGUGUCGUGAGAUGUUGGGUUAAGUCCCGCAACGAGCGCAACCCUUGUUGUUAAUUGCCAUCAUUAAGUUGGGGACUUUAGCAAGACUGCCAAUGAUAAAUUGGAGGAAGGUGGGGACGACGUCAAAUCAUCAUGCCCCUUAUGACCUGGGCUACAAACGUGAUACAAUGGCUGUUACAAAGGGUAGCUAAAGCGUAAGCUUCUGGCGAAUCUCAAAAAAGCAGUCUCAGUUCGGAUUGAAGUCUGCAACUCGACUUCAUGAAGUUGGAAUCGCUAGUAAUCGCGAAUCAGCAU